rnacentral:rRNA from 1 species
CUCCGGUUGAUCCUGCCGGACCCGACUGCUAUCAGAGUGAGAUUAAGCCAUGCGAGUUAACGUAGCAAUACGUGGCGCACGGCUCAGUAACACGUAGUCAACAUGCCCAGAGGACGUGGAUAACCUCGGGAAACUGAGUCUAAACCGCGAUAAGUGAGGAUUUCUGGAAUGGUUCCUGACUAAAAUCUAUAUGGCCUCUGGAUUGGACUGCGGCCGAUCAGGCUGUUGGUGAGGUAAUGGCCCACCAAACCUGUAACCGGUACGGGCUCUGAGAGGAGGAGCCCGGAGAUGGGCACUGAGACAAGGGCCCAGGCCCUAUGGGGCGCAGCAGGCGCGAAACCUCUGCAAUAGGCGAAAGCCUGACAGGGUUACUCUGAGUGACUUUCGCUAAGAAAGUCUUUUGGCACCUCUAAAAAGGGUGCAGAAUAAGGGGUGGGCAAGUCUGGUGUCAGCCGCCGCGGUAAUACCAGCACCCCGAGUGGUCGGGACGAUUAUUGGGCCUAAAGCAUCCGUAGCCGGUUCUGCAAGUCCCCCGUUAAAUCCAGCUGCUCAACAGAUGGGCCGCGGAGGAUACUACAGAGCUAGGAGGCAGGAGAGGCAAGCGGUACUCAGUGGGUAGGGGUAAAAUCCGUUGAUCCAUUGAAGACCACCAGUGGCGAAGGCGGCUUGCCAGAAUGCGCUCGACGGUGAGGGAUGAAAGCUGGGGGAGCAAACCGGAUUAGAUACCCGGGUAGUCCCAGCCGUAAACGAUGCAGACUCGGUGAUGGGUUGGCUUCGCGCUAACCCAGUGCCGCAGGGAAGCCAUUAAGUCUGCCGCCUGGGUAGUACGGUCGCAAGACUGAAACUUAAAGGAAUUGGCGGGGGAGCA